rnacentral:rRNA from 1 species
UACGUAGGGUGCGAGCGUUAAUCCGAAUUACUGGGCGUAAAGCGUGCGCAGGCGGUUCGUUAAGUUCGUUGUGAAAGCCCCGGGCUCAACCUGGGAACUGCAAUGGAAACUGGCGGGCUUGAGUGUGGCAGAGGGGGGUGGAAUUCCGCGUGUAGCAGUGAAAUGCGUAGAGAUGCGGAGGAACACCGAUGGCGAAGGCAGCCCCCUGGGCCAACACUGACGCUCAGGCACGAAAGCGUGGGGAGCAAACAGG